rnacentral:snRNA from 1 species
GUGCUUACUUCAGUAGCACAUUAUACGUAAAAAAAUAGGAACAGUAUAGAAAAGAUUACCUUGGCCCCUGUGCAAGGAUGACAUGCAAAUUCAUGAAGCACUUCAUAUUUAA